CCUUCUUCCAGAUUUUUGUUGGAAUUAUUCACCUUUUCCUAUAAGACAUUAAAGAAAGGCAGAACGAACCACAUUAUGAGCAUAUACCAACCAAGUUGCUUCCUUGAUGAGCAGAUUGGGUGAUGCUUCAGGAACACUA
rnacentral:snoRNA from 1 species